rnacentral:rRNA from 1 species
GAUUUUAAAAGUCGAACAGACUUAAAAAUUUANACAGCUGCACCUAAAUUUUAUCUUAAUCCAACAUCGAGGUCGCAAUCUUUUUUAUUGAUAUGAACUCUCCAAAAAAAUUACGCUGUUAUCCCUAAAGUAACUUAAUUUUAUAAUCACUAAAAAUGGAUCAAUUAUUCAUAAAUCAAUGAUUUAAAUUAUUAAAAGUUUAUCAAAUUUUAAUAUCACCCCAACACAAUAUAUAAAUAAUAUUAUAAUCUAAAUAAUCUACAAAAUUAAAAUAAACUAUAUAUAAAGAUUUAUAGGGUCUUCUCGUCUUUUAAUUAAAUUUUAGCUUUUUGACUAAAAAAUAAAAUUCUAUUAUAAAUUUAAUUGAAACAGUUAAUAUUUCGUCCAACCAUUCAUUCCAGCCUCCAAUUAAAAGACUAAUGAUUAUGCUACNUUUGCACAGU